GAUGAACGCUAGCUACAGGCUUAACACAUGCAAGUCGAGGGGCAGCAUUUUAGUUUGCUUGCAAACUAAAGAUGGCGACCGGCGCACGGGUGAGUAACACGUAUCCAACCUGCCGAUAACUCGGGGAUAGCCUUUCGAAAGAAAGAUUAAUAUCCGAUGGUAUAUUAAAACCGCAUGGUUUUACUAUUAAAGAAUUUCGGUUAUCGAUGGGGAUGCGUUCCAUUAGUUUGUUGGCGGGGUAACGGCCCACCAAGACUACGAUGGAUAGGGGUUCUGAGAGGAAGGUCCCCCACAUUGGAACUGAGACACGGUCCAAACUCCUACGGGAGGCAGCAGUGAGGAAUAUUGGUCAAUGGACGAGAGUCUGAACCAGCCAAGUAGCGUGAAGGAUGACUGCCCUAUGGGUUGUAAACUUCUUUUAUAUGGGAAUAAAGUAUUCCACGUGUGGGAUUUUGUAUGUACCAUAUGAAUAAGGAUCGGCUAACUCCGUGCCAGCAGCCGCGGUAAUACGGAGGAUCCGAGCGUUAUCCGGAUUUAUUGGGUUUAAAGGGAGCGUAGGUGGAUUGUUAAGUCAGUUGUGAAAGUUUGCGGCUCAACCGUAAAAUUGCAGUUGAAACUGGCAGUCUUGAGUACAGUAGAGGUGGGCGGAAUUCGUGGUGUAGCGGUGAAAUGCUUAGAAAUCACGAAGAACUCCGAUUGCGAAGGCAGCUCACUAGACUGCAACUGACACUGAUGCUCGAAAGUGUGGGUAUCAAACAGGAUUAGAUACCCUGGUAGUCCACACAGUAAACGAUGAAUACUCGCUGUUUGCGAUAUACAGUAAGCGGCCAAGCGAAAGCAUUAAGUAUUCCACCUGGGGAGUACGCCGGCAACGGUGAAACUCAAAGGAAUUGACGGGGGCCCGCACAAGCGGAGGAACAUGUGGUUUAAUUCGAUGAUACGCGAGGAACCUUACCCGGGCUUAAAUUGCAUUUGAAUAAUCUGGAAACAGGUUAGCCGCAAGGCAAAUGUGAAGGUGCUGCAUGGUUGUCGUCAGCUCGUGCCGUGAGGUGUCGGCUUAAGUGCCAUAACGAGCGCAACCCUUAUCUUUAGUUACUAACAGGUCAUGCUGAGGACUCUAGAGAGACUGCCGUCGUAAGAUGUGAGGAAGGUGGGGAUGACGUCAAAUCAGCACGGCCCUUACGUCCGGGGCUACACACGUGUUACAAUGGGGGGUACAGAAGGCAGCUACCUGGCGACAGGAUGCUAAUCCCAAAAACCUCUCUCAGUUCGGAUCGAAGUCUGCAACCCGACUUCGUGAAGCUGGAUUCGCUAGUAAUCGCGCAUCAGCCAUGGCGCGGUGAAUACGUUCCCGGGCCU
rnacentral:rRNA from 1 species